CAACUACUGAGCAUGGAAUUACCAGGAAAAACGGCUACUGUGUGAAGCACGGGCAUGUCCAUCUGUUGUGAUUUGGAAACACGGAGAACCUCUCUUCAUGUCAGAACCUCAAACUGACAGUGGUUCAUGGACCAAUAGGUUCACUGAUUGCUCGGGAGAUUGAAAUGAGAUACUCCUUCAAAGUUGCUGUGAAAGAUUCUCUUCUUUCUCAGUCCCGUAAGAUGAAGCUGUGGGCUCCAUGUCCCCUGUCUCCAGUGGAGAAUCAACAUCACAAGCUACAGCUCCUGAGUCCGAUUCACAUGAAGAAAUACAGGUUCAUCACUACUAAGUGGCUGGAGAGCAGUGCACUAUCAUCCUCCCUGCCCUACCGAGCAACAGGAGAGGAGAAGACCUGUCGAGGUCUGUCUGCAUAGAGCUGCAGAUGCCAGAAGAUGGCAAUAAAAAACACCAUCAUGUGGACGUUUGGGAGCUUGUUUUCCUGCUGAUGAGACGGCAUCGGGAAGCACUAUGAGAAGACGGCAAGUCAACAGAAGCGGUGUGAAACUCUAAAUAAUGUUCUUCUGGGAAACGUCAGGUCCUGGCAUUCAUGUAGAUGUUACUUGUUCAUGUCUAUCAUAGGGCUGAUAUAUAGAGACA
rnacentral:lncRNA from 1 species